UACGGAGGGAGCUAGCGUUGUUCGGAAUUACUGGGCGUAAAGCGCGCGUAGGCGGCUUUGUAAGUUAGAGGUGAAAGCCCGGAGCUCAACUCCGGAACUGCCUUUAAAACUGCAUCGCUUGAAUCCAGGAGAGGUGAGUGGAAUUCCGAGUGUAGAGGUGAAAUUCGUAGAUAUUCGGAAGAACACCAGUGGCGAAGGCGGCUCACUGGACCGGCAUUGACGCUGAGGUGCGAAAGCGUGGGGAGCAAACAG
rnacentral:rRNA from 1 species